GACGAACCGUGCAAACGUUGUUCGGAAUCACUGGGCUUAAAGGGCGCGUAGGCGGGUAGCCAAGUCAGGGGUGAAAUCUUUCGGCUCAACCGGAAAAUUGCCUUUGAUACUGGCUGUCUUGAGGGAGGUAGGGGCAUGUGGAACUUCCGGUGGAGCGGUGAAAUGCGUUGAUAUCGGAAGGAACGCCGGUGGCGAAAGCGACGUGCUGGACCUCUUCUGACGCUGAGGCGCGAAAGCUAGGGGAGCGAACGG
rnacentral:rRNA from 1 species